UGCUCUGAGGACAUUCCUUUCUGCUGCCUU
rnacentral:piRNA from 1 species